rnacentral:sRNA from 1 species
AGUUAGGAGUGUAAGACAAGAGAGCCCCUACUUCAUGGGGCAGAUCAAGAGCUGAGACCAAAGAUGGUCUAUGUUGCUGACCUUGUCCUGUCCUCCUACUGUCUUAAACUAUGAUCCCUGCUGUGGUCACUGAAGCCUUUCCCUGAGCCACCAUGCAGUGCUUCAGUUUCAUUAAGACCAUGAUGAUCCUCUUCAAUUUGCUCAUCUUUCUGUGUGGUGCGGCCCUGUUGGCAGUGGGCAUCUGGGUGUCAAUCGAUGGGGCAUCCUUUCUGAAGAUCUUCGGGCCGCUGUCGUCCAGUGCCAUGCAGUUUGUCAACGUGGGCUACUUCCUCAUCGCAGCCGGCGUUGUGGUCUUUGCUCUUGGUUUCCUGGGCUGCUAUGGUGCUAAAACUGAGAGCAAGUGUGCCCUCAUGACGUUCUUCUUCAUCCUCCUCCUCAUCUUCAUUGCUGAGGUUGCAGCUGCUGUGGUCGCCUUGGUGUACACCACAAUGGCUGAGCACUUCCUGACAUUGUUGGUAGUGCCUGCCAUCAAGAAAGACUACGGUUCCCAGGAAGACUUCACUCAAGUGUGGAACACUACCAUGAAAGGGGUAAGGUUGGCUGGGGGAGGUUUUAGGGUGGAGAGAAAGAAGCAAGGCCCCACCUCCACCCUCAUCUUGUCUCCAGCUCAAGUGCUGUGGCUUCACCAACUAUACGGAUUUUGAGGACUCACCCUACCUCAAAGAGAACCAUGCCUUUCCCCCAUUCUGCUGCAAUGACAACAUCACCAACACAGCCAAUGACACCUGCACCAAGCAAAAGGCUGAGGACCAAAAAGUAGAGGGUUGCUUCAAUCAGCUUUUGUAUGACAUCCGAACUAAUGCAGUCACCGUGGGUGGUGUGGCAGCUGGAAUUGGGGGCCUUGAGCUGGCUGCCAUGAUUGUGUCCAUGUAUCUGUACUGCAAUCUACAAUAAGUCCACUUCUGCCUCUGCCACUACUGCUGCCACAUGGGA